CCUACGGGUGGCAGCAGUAGGGAAUAUUGCUCAAUGGGGGAAACCCUGAAGCAGCAACGCCGCGUGAAGGAUGAAGGUUUUAGGAUUGUAAACUCCUUUUGUUAGAGAAGAUUAUGACGGUAUCUCACGAAUAAACACCGGCUAACCCCCUGCCAGCAGCCGCGGUAAUACGGAGGGGGCCAGCGUUACUCGGAUUCACUGGGAGUAAAGAGUGCGUAGGCGGGGUAAUAAGUCAGAUGUGAAAUGCUGUGGCUUAACUACAGAACUGCAUUUGAAACUGUUACUCUGGAGUGUGGGAGAGGUAGGUGGAAUUCUUGGUGUAGGGGUAAAAUCCGUAGAGAGUAAGAGGAAUACUCAUUGCGAAGGCGACCUGCUGGAACAUUACUGACGCUGAUGCACGAAAGCGUGGGGAGCAAACAGGAUUAGAUACCCCAGUAGUC
rnacentral:rRNA from 1 species